GUCCAGCAGGAUCCCAGGUGGGACCCGGGCGGGAGGAGGGCUGGGGUCCGGACCACCCCCCACACCGAGCGUGGGGGGAGGGGCGGCGGGAUUGACAGUCGGUAAUUGGGUAACUGGAGGCGGCUUCUCCGGCCCGGCGGCCCCGCCACCGCGACGCCGGGCCCCUGACGUCACCCGAUUCGCCAGGAAAUGAACUUUUUAAUAAUCCGAGGAGGGAGGAAAGCCCUCGGUCCCCUUGGCUCGGGGGGCGCCGGGCCGGGCUCAAGCUCCGCGGGCGCGCCCCGGACACCCCCUCCCAGGCCAGCUCCUGGCAGCGCCGAGGGGGCGCGGGCUCCGACUGGGGCCUCCUCCUGCCUCUGCGUCUGGCGUCUGUUUGUCCGAGGCCCUGGCGCAGGUAGAGGCGUGGGGCUGGGGGAUGCACAGCUCCAUGGGGCUGGAAACCCGCGCGUCCGCGGCCGGUGGGGACCCUCUGGCCCCGGCCGCCCUCUGCGUCUCCCGAUCCUUUGCAUCCGGGAGGGAGCCGGGCCUGGACUGCUUGGAAUUCCGUUCCUCGGGAGAGGAGGCUGGCGUCCGCCAGAGAAGGCGCGCGGGGGCCGGGAACUGCCGCGCCAGGCCGCUGGCGCCGGGCCUCGGGGAGCCGGCGUGGCAGUUCACGAUCCUUCCUCAACGCGUACAAUGAGAUCGCCACGGAGCUUGGAGCUCGUUCGGCCUAACGGGAGCCUCUCCGAGACACCAGGGCCUCGGAUCAUCCCCCCAUGUUCCCCAAGACCGCUCCACUGGAGCUGGAACCAGGACUCAGCGCGGGAAGCCGUACCCGCCGCGGGGCGGUAGACGACGGAGCCGAGCGGAAGCUUCCCGCCGGGCCGCGAUCAGCGCCUCCGCUCGCACGGAGGUGGGCAGCUCGGGGCACCCGGGAAAGCAGGUUCCAACCUCCACCUCCAGGCCAGUGUCCCAGGGAUGGGGGGCGCCGAGACCCGCAGACAACCCGACUACGUUUCUCCGCGCUCCACCAAACUGCUCGGGUUUGAUCCAGCGCGCCUGGCUGAACGGCGGCAUGACAACUGGUAAAUCCGUUUCGUUAGACGCAAUUUGUUUGCAAUUUGUCAACCCGGCUGGGAAACGCUCUCCAGACGCCCGGGCAGCCGCUUUGACCCUACCUGGUUCCCGAAUCCUGCUCGCUCCUAAACGAAUCCCAGCGCGGGGAUCCUGCGUCCACCCGGAGCUCAACGCCAGAUGUUCCGGACCAUGGGAGAUGUGCCCCCCCCCAAAAAAAAAAAAAAAAAACGAAUUUCUUUCCUUGUUUGCUGGGAAAGAUGCGGCCACCACACCCGCGGACUCCGAACGCGGGGCCUUUUCCCCUCGCAGCUGGAUCAACCCCCCAUCCAAGCCUGGCCACCACCGAAUGAUCCUCAAUGCCCGGCGUCCAGCCUCAUCCUGAUCGCCGUCUACGCCCACCGGCUGCAGAGCCCCGAGCCCGCGGCGGCCCCCCGUUCUUAUUGAAAUCCCACUAAACGGAUUCUGACUCUGGCUUGGGGCAGGGGGGAGACUUCCAGAUCCGGCACUGUCCCCCACCUGCACCCCAGCCACACAGGAUAAAAGGCCGCGGGGUGCGGCACGCGGGGGCGCAAGCAGGAGCGAGCCGGGUUAAGCCGCGCAAAGCCGGCGCACGGGACCAGCCGGCAGGUGCAGCCGCCGCUCGGAGGCCCCGGCUCUGGCGCAUCCGCUGCAGCGGCCCCGGAUUAUCGGAGCCCUUUCAGAGCGCGCACAACGAAUGCGCCCGCCAUCGAAUGCAGCAUUUACCAGCGCAGAUCCGCGCGCUGAUGGGCAGGCAGAUAGCCAUCCGCGGGGGGCACGUCGGGCGCCCUGUGCCCCGCGCCUCCAGCCUGCCCGCCGGGGCCACCCGAGUGUGCGCCCCCGGCUGCGCCGGCCGUGCUUGCAGGGUCAGUGAGUGGGCGCUCAGCAAACGGGGACCUGGAUGUGCGUGCAAGAGUGUCAAACGUGUACUGCAAGAAAGUGCACACGUUGGAGCCCGGGCGCACACGCGUGGUGUGCUGGGCGCCGGGAGGUGGCCUUUGAGGGCGAACACAGAGGCGCGGCGCACGAGCGUGUGGGCAGGCAUAAAGGAGGGGCUAUGCAAACCGGGGUUUGCAAGUGAGCACAGGGUUAGCACCUCAGUGUAGGUACCCUCCAGGAUGCCAUUUAGGGGGACACACCAGGAAGGGCGUGGCAGCCACUAGUCAGCGCGUGGUGUGCACGUGGUGCGUUUGGGGGGCCGUGCAAGCUUGAAAGCGGGUGCAUCCGUGCGCACACCUGGAUGCCAAAGGUGAAUGUGGUCGCCCGCGUUCACGCCCGUGCGUGCCUUUGGAGUGUGCGCGCGUCAGUGGGAAGGUGUGUCCUUGUGUAUCUUUCCGCCCAGGUGCACAGCGAGAGACGGAAAGGCCUGUCCGUGCGCUUGCGGGUGUAGACUCCGAGCUGGACCCUGCAGCCUGGGGAAGAGGCAGAGAUGGGUGUGCGCGGCAGGGGCGUGGGAUGUGUGGUGUUGGUAGCAGAAACGGGAUGCGGAACGAAGAGGAGUGAUCCAAGGAGUUUGGAGACACCCAAGGGUCCUGGCCCCACAGCCUCUCCACUGAAGCCCUGAAGCUGGGGCCGGAAAGCCCCAAGCCUGGCUGCCUGAGGUCCCUGCGCCGAACAACUCAGCAAGCUCCAUCUUCCAAGCGGGAGAGCCUGGUGCCCACAGAUCUGCUUCAACCCACCACCCAGAAGGGCAUGGGAUUGAGAGAGACCGAGUCACAGAGGCCCCUCUGGCAGGGGAUCGGGGGACGGAAAACACUUCCUGCCUGGGUCUCAGGGUGCCUUGGCCUAUCUGGGGAGGCCUGAGCUGCUGGCUGAGACUUCACUCAUAAUACAAGAUAAUUAUCCCAGAGG